GGACCACUAGCUCAGGGGUUAGAGCACCGUCCUUAUACGGACCUCACGCGGAAAACCUGCCGAGAGGCCUGCGUGUUGCCUUGUGACAGGCGGCGGUCCCGGGUUCGAAUCCCGGGUGGUCCA
rnacentral:tRNA from 1 species